rnacentral:rRNA from 1 species
UUAAAUUGAAGAGUUUGAUCAUGGCUCAGAUUGAACGCUGGCGGCAGGCUUAACACAUGCAAGUCGAACGGUAACAUGAGUGCUUGCACUUGAUGACGAGUGGCGGACGGGUGAGUAAAGUAUGGGGAUCUGCCGAAUGGAAGGGGACAACAGUUGGAAACGACUGCUAAUACCGUAUAAAGUUGAGAGACCAAAGCAUGGGACUUUCGGGCCAUGCGCCAUUUGAUGAACCCAUAUGGGAUUAGCUAGUAGGUGAGGUAAUGGCUCACCUAGGCGACGAUCUCUAGCUGGUCUGAGAGGAUGACCAGCCACACUGGAACUGAGACACGGUCCAGACUCCUACGGGAGGCAGCAGUGGGGAAUAUUGCACAAUGGGGGGAACCCUGAUGCAGCCAUGCCGCGUGUAUGAAGAAGGC